rnacentral:lncRNA from 1 species
ACUUUAAACCAAGGAGUGAUACUUCCCUGGAGUUUUUUGGGUUGAGACAUUUUGAAAGUUUUUGUAUGUUUUUUUUAAAGUUUUAUUUAUUAGACACACAGAGAGAGAGGCAGAGACUCAGGCACAGGGAGAAGCAGGCUCCAUGCAGGGAGCCCCACGCGGGACUCGAUCCCGGGACUCCAGGAUCACCCCCAGGCUGCAGGCGGCGCUAAACCGCUGAGUCACCGGGGCUGCCCGAAAGUUUUUGAGCGCCGUGGCACUUGAGCAUCGUCUAUCGGUGUGAUCAGCCUCGUCUUCCAGGAGGGGCACCACCGCGGGUGCCCUGCUGAGGGCUUUGCUUCCUGCACGCGGCUGCUGCGUCCUGAAUCUUACCGGGUUCGGAGACGUUGCAGAGCUGUGUUCAGGAGCGUGUUACACACCCCAGAUGAUAGGGCCACCACCAAGUAGGCCGGUUCCUGCGGAGACCCUUUCCAAAGAGCCUGAACGGAUGGGAGUGGAUACUGCAGUUUUCUGCUCUUUCAUGCCUGUCUUAAAGUUUUCUGAAGUACUGACUUCUUCAGCUCAUUGGCAUUUAACUUUAAUCAAGCUGUGCUUUAGCUGCUUUUUGGUGCUGAAGGCCAACUCAUAA